rnacentral:tRNA from 1 species
GAACAGGUUGCUAAUGUUGGCUCUAGGGCGGAGCUUAUACCUCCGUAAAGCAAUCACCAGAUAAGUGAUGUAACGUGGGUUCGAUUCCCACCCUGUUCACCA